UACGGAGGGAGCUAGCGUGGUUCGGAAUUACUGGGCGUAAAGCGCACGUAGGCGGCUUUGUAAGUUAGGGGUGAAAGCCUGGAGCUCAACUUCAGAAUUGCCCUUAAGACUGCAUCGCUUGAAUCCAGGAGAGGUGAGUGGAAUUCCGAGUGUAGAGGUGAAAUUCGUAGAUAUUCGGAAGAACACCAGUGGCGAAGGCGGCUCACUGGACUGGUAUUGACGCUGAGGUGCGAAAGCGUGGGGAGCAAACAGG
rnacentral:rRNA from 1 species